UACGAAGGGGGCUAGCGUUGCUCGGAAUUACUGGGCGUAAAUCGCACGUAGGCGGCUUCUUAAGUCGGUGGUGAAAUCCUGGAGCUCAACUCCAGAACUGCCUUCGAUACUGGGAAGCUCGAGUCCGGGAGAGGUGAGUGGAACUGCGAGUGUAGAGGUGAAAUUCGUAGAUAUUCGCAAGAACACCAGUGGCGAAGGCGGCUCACUGGCCCGGUACUGACGCUGAGGUGCGAAAGCGUGGGGAGCAAACAGG
rnacentral:rRNA from 1 species